rnacentral:tRNA from 1 species
GCCGGGAUAGCUCAGCUGGGAGAGCAACAGACUGAAGCCCGACGGUGUUCUGGAGGUCCCGUGUUCAAUCCACGGUCCUGGCA